rnacentral:rRNA from 1 species
AAAAACAUGUNUUUUUGAAAAUAAUAAAAAGUCUAAUCUGCCCACUGAAUUUAUUUAAAGGGCUGCAGUAUAUUGACUGUACAAAGGUAGCAUAAUCAAUAGUCUUUUAAUUGAAGACUUGUAUGAAUGAUUUGAUGAAAUAUGAACUGUCUCUUUUUUAAAAAUAAAAUUUAAUUUUUUAGUUAAAAAGCUAAAAUAAUUAUAAAAGACGAGAAGACCCUAUAGAGUUUUAUAGUUAUUUAAUUUAAAAAUUUUAUAUAUAAUUUAAAUUUAAAAUUAAUUAAUUAUUUUAUUGGGGUGAUAGAAAAAUUAAAAAAACUUUUUUUUAAAAUUUAACAUUAAUUUAUGAAAUUAUGAUCCAUAAUUUAUGAUUAAAAGAAUCAAUUACCUUAGGGAUAACAGCGUAAUUUUUUUUUUUAGUACAAAUAAGAAAAAGAGUUUGCGACCUCGAUGUUGGAUUAAGAUAAAAUUUAAAUGCAAAAGUUUAAAAUUUUUGAUCUGUUCGAUCAUUAAAAUCUUACAUGAUCUGAGC